AGCAGCCGCGGUAAUUCCAGCUCCAAUAGCGUAUAUUAAAGUUGUUGCAGUUAAAAAGCUCGUAGUUGAACUUCGGGGUUUAUUCAUUGGUCAGGCUUAACUGUCUGCACUGGUGAGAUGAAUCUCUACCUUCUGAGGAACUUUCAUGCCAUUUAUUUGGUGUGAUGGGAAAUCAGGACUGUUACUUUGAAAAAAUUAGAGUGUUUAAAGCAGGCUAACGUCUGAAUACAUUAGCAUGGAAUAAUGAAAUAGGACGGACUGGUUCUAUUUUGUUGGUUUCUAGGAUCACCGUAAUGAUUAAUAGGGAUAGUUGGGGGCAUUAGUAUUCAAUUGUCAGAGGUGAAAUUCUUGGAUUUAUUGAAGACUAACUACUGCGAAAGCAUUUGCCAAGGAUGUUUUCAUUAAUCAAGAACGAAAGUUAGGGGAUCGAAGACGAUCAGAUACCGUCGUAGUCUUAACCAUAAACUAUGCCGACUAGGGAUCGGACGAAGUUAAUUUUAUAAUGACGCGUUCGGA
rnacentral:rRNA from 1 species